rnacentral:rRNA from 1 species
UACGUAGGGUGCAAGCGUUAAUCGGAAUUACUGGGCGUAAAGCGUGCGCAGGCGGUUUUGUAAGACAGAGGUGAAAUCCCCGGGCUCAACCUGGGAACUGCCUUUGUGACUGCAAGGCUUGAGUGCGGCAGAGGGGGAUGGAAUUCCGCGUGUAGCAGUGAAAUGCGUAGAUAUCGGGAGGAACACCAGUGGCGAAGGCGAGUCUCUGGGAUGAUACUGACGCUGAUGCUCGAAAGCUAGGGGAGCAAACAGG